rnacentral:rRNA from 1 species
UAGGGAAUCUUCCACAAUGGACGCAAGUCUGAUGGAGCAACGCCGCGUGAGUGAAGAAGGUCUUCGGAUCGUAAAACCCUGUUGUUAGAGAAGAACACGAGUGAGAGUAACUGUUCAUUCGAUGACGGUAUCUAACCAGCAAGUCACGGCUAACUACGUGCCAG